AGUGAGCGCUGGCGGUAGGCCUAACACAUGCAAGUCGAACGGCAGCACAGUAAGAGCUUGCUUUAACGUGUUGCGAGUGGCGGACGGGUGAGGUAUACAUCUGACUCUACUUUUUCGUGGGGGAUAACGUAGGGAAACUUACUCUAAUAUAGCACACGACCUACUGGUUAAAGCAGGGGAUCUUCGUACCUAGCGCGAAUGACUGUGUCGUAGUCGGUUGUGCUAGUUGGCGGGGUAAAGGCCCACCAAGGCGACGAUCCGUAGCCGGUCUGAGAGGAUGAUCAGCCACACGGGAGCUAAGAUGCGGUCCAGACUCCGACGGGAGGCACCAGUGAGGAAUCUUCGACAAUGGGCGGAAGCCUGUACCAGCCAUACCGCGAAGGUGUAGAGGACCUUCGGGUUGUAGAGCACUUUUGUUGGGGAAGAAAAGCAGCAGGUUAUUACGAAGCUGUUCUGACGGUACCCAAAGAAUAAGCACCGGCUAACUUCGUG
rnacentral:rRNA from 1 species